rnacentral:rRNA from 1 species
UUGAUCCUGGCUCAGAAUGAACGGUGGCGGUGUGCAUAUUACAUGCAAGUCGAGCGGUACCGGGGCAACUCGGUAUAGCGGCGAACGGGUGAGUAACAUAUAGAUAACCUGCCCUAUAGAGGGGGACAACAAUUCGAAAGGAUUGCUAAUACCCCAUAAGAUUUACUGGUUGCAUAGUCGGUAAAUGAAAGCAGGGCGCGAGCCUUGCGCUAGAGGAGGGGUCUAUAUCCUAUCAGCUAGUUGGUGGGGUAAGAGCCUACCAAGGCGAUGACGGGUAGCCGGCCUGAGAGGGUGUACGGCCACACGGGCACUGAGACACGGGCCCGACUCCUACGGGAGGCAGCAGUAGGGAAUAUUGGGCAAUGGGCGAAAGCCUGACCCAGCGACACCGCGUGAGUGAUGAAGGUCUUCGGAUUGUAAAGCUCUAACACGUGUUAAGAAGGCAUAUACAGUGAACAAUUGUGUAUGUCAGACAAAGGCGCGAGAUGGAGUCAUUGCUAACUCUGUGCCAGCAGCAGCGGUAAUACAGAGAUGGCUACCGUUGUUCGGAAUCACUGGGCUUAAAGGGCGUGUAGGCGGAGCGAUAAGUUGGUGGUGAAAUUUCCUGGCUUACCCAGGGAACGGCUACCAAGACUGUUGCUCUUGAGUGCGGUAGGGGGGAGUGGAACUCCUGGUGGAGCGGUGAAAUGCGUUGAUAUCAUCUGGAACACCGGUGGCGAAAGCGACUCUCUGGACCGCUACUGACGCUGAGGCGCGAAAGCUAGGGGAGCAAACGGGAUUAGAUACCCCGGUAGUCCUAGCCGUAAACGAUGAACACUAGGUAGAGGAAGGUCACUUUCUCUGCUGAAGCGAAAGUGUUAAGUGUUCCGCCUGGUGAGUAUGGUCGCAAGGCUGAAACUCAAAGGAAUUGACGGGGGCUCGCACAAGCGGUGGAGUAUGUGGUUUAAUCCGAAGCAACGCGUAGAACCUUACCUGGGCUUGACAUUCUUGGAUUAAGGUAUCGAAAGAUACCUGACGCCGCAAGGAGGAACAAGAACAGGUGUUGCAUGGCUGUCGUCAGCUCGUGCCGUGAGGUGUUGGGUUAAGUCCUAUAACGAGCGAAACCUUUAUCCUUAGUUACCAGCGGGUAAUGCCGGGGACUCUAGGGAGACUGCACACGUUAAGUGUGAGGAAGGCGAAGACGACGUCAAGUCAUCAUGGCCUUUAUGCCCAGGGCUACACACGUACUACAAUGGUCGAGAACAAAGGGAAGCGAAGUUGAGAAACAGAGCAAAUCCCAAAAAAUCGACCUCAGUUCAGAUUGAGGGCUGCAAUUCGCCCUCAUGAAGCCGGAAUCGCUAGUAAUCGCGGGUCAGCUAUACCGCGGUGAAUGUGUUCCCGAGCCUUGUACACACCGCCCGUCAAGCCACCGAAGCAGGGGCAGCCUGAAGUCGCUGACCUAACCGUAAGGGGGGAGGCGCCCAAGGAAGCUUUUGUGACGGGGACUAAGUCGUAACAAGGUA